AGUGAACGCUGGCGGUAGGCCUAACACAUGCAAGUCGAGGGGGAGGGCAGCAAUGCCCGAGACCGGCGCACGGGUGAGUAACGCGUAUGCAACCUACCUUCUACAGGGGGAUAGCCCAGGGAAACUUGGAUUAAUACCGCAUAGUUCCCAGAACCUGCAUAGGCUUUGGGAUAAAGAUUUAUCGGUAGAAGAUGGGCAUGCGUGACAUUAGGUAGUUGGCGGGGUAACGGCCCACCAAGCCGACGAUGUCUAGGGGUUCUGAGAGGAUGAUCCCCCAACUGGUACUGAGACACGGACCAGACUCCUACGGGAGGCAGCAGUGAGGAAUAUUGGUCAAUGGGCGCAAGCCUGAACCAGCCAUCCCGCGUGAAGG
rnacentral:rRNA from 1 species